GAGCCGGAGGAGGAUUGAUCCCGACUUGGCUCCUGGGCUGCCUCCCUGCCUGCUGCACAGAGACACACACACACACACACACACACACAGACUUAUACUGUAAUAAAGAGAACCCCAGACACAGAACCAGAGAGAGAGAGAGAGAGAGAGAAAUACAAAAAAAAAAAGUAAAACCAACGAAAAAACAACAAAAAAAAUUGUACCUGUUAAUAACUCCAAGGGAGCACCACCCACUCAACCAACCUCCACAAACUGACAGCUCAGCAACUUCUCCGACUGGCCACCCAUCGCUGGAUGUUCCUCCACUUUAUCCACCAUAUAAAACAACUUUUACCAGUAAAUAUCGGUUUAUUCCUGAAAUCAGAAGCCCUAAACAUACCUUUGUUUAUAAGUUUUUCUCCUCUGCACUACCGAAAAGGGAAUUUACGGGACCUAGAGAACAUCUGUCGGUAAUGUAGAUGUAAUUUACAAAUUACUGGUAGGUUUCCAAAAAAAAUUUGAAAUUUUAUUUUUCAGACUAUCGGAGCUUGUGUAAACUGGUGGUGGGUGCUCAGAGAAAACCCCUAAAUGUUUAUACUUAGGAGACUUGUACUUCACAAUAGUGUGUGUAGUUCUGUUUAAAUAUAUUUAUUCAUAGUACUUAUCUGAAAGUAUUCACUAGAAAAAUCAAAAUUCUCUCUUGCAAGAGGUAAAGGGAAAAACAAUUUGAACAUGAUCUUUUUUUUUUAAACUUCAUAAAAAUAUGCUUUGAAGUUGAGAGAAUAAUCAAAUAGUGAAAUGUUCAAAACUUAAAAGGACAUUGUUGUUUAGACCCAAAGUUUAGAUUUUCUGGUUAUUAAAAAAAAAAAAACUGGGUAGAAAUACAUUUGACAAAAUAAAUUUUUAUUCAUAAAAACCAAAAAGAGGAGUUGGGAGUAUUUAAACUCCUCUUUAUAAUGUUUGCAACCAAACACAACUGCAUUGUGCUCAUACUGAAGAGACAGAAGCUAGCAAAGGAAUAGAAAAUGAAGCUGACUCAACAGGCCAGCCAAAUUUCACUCUCCAGAACAUGUGAAAUAAAAAAAGUUAAAAAAAAAAUAAUUUUAACUAUCUACAGCAUGCAUAAUGCAAGACUAUUUUCUAUAGCAGUUCAGCUGAACAAUGUCCCUUUAAGGAGAUGCAGCACAAUUUGUAAAUUUCUUCCUGGAUGUGUUUCAUUAUCUUGGUUGGUUUUGUGGUCUCGGAACAAAUCAAAGCUUUUGCACCCUUAGUUGGAGUCCGUAAUGGCCGGAGUCUUCAAGCAGUAUGCUUUCUGAGCUGAAAACUACCUUUCCUCCCCUUUUGCAGCCUGUGUGGUUCUGACUGCUGGUAGUUCUGUAGUACAGCAGCUUUAAUCUGAGCAAUCGAGAAUGGUCCUACAUUAUAUACAGUUGGCUUCAGGAGGACUUGUGUUCCCAGUUUGGUACUCAAAUGCUCCAUCCCACCAUGAGAAGUCACUUUAAAAGGCAGUGAUAGAUUAUCCUCUUUAGCACUAAUGGAAAAUUACAUUGCAAAGCAGCUUUAUUAUGAACCUUUCCUAUAUUUAUAAUUCCCUUGCCAUCCCAACUUGGAGAUAAAGGCCUGUUAAAGGUUAUAUAUUACUCUGGAUUUUUCUUACUGUAAAUAUUGUAAUUUUACAAUACUGUCAAUAUUUUAUUAAUUUACAAAUAUUUAACAAAGUUUAAUCUGUGUGAGUUCAGAUUUAUUUAAUAGUGUUCCACUUCCGUGGUUUCUGCUGCAGUCAGUAUUGCAUUAUAUUCUAUGUAAGAUUAACUUGCAUUUAAAAAGAAAGUUAAGACUGAUUUAAAUCCAUCUUUCUGGGAGAACAAAGUACAGAAGUGAUUCUCUUCUUUGAAAUGUAACACUUGCACUCUUCAGGCCCAGUGCUAAGAUAAUUUAAUGAAAUACUACCAUUACAGAUUUUCAAAGCUAAUGCAGCUAAACAAUGCACUUGGAACUUGUUACUUGAAAACUUGAGAAUACUUUGAAUGUUAAAUGGCUUUUCUCAGCCAGUUUUCAGUGAUUUUUCUGCAUUAUCUAAUGUAUCUAAAAUCUUAACUUUUUUUAUAAUGAGUAAAGGGACGUUGUCUGAUCAGUUUUAAGUUUUUGUAAAAGCAAGGAUUUGGAAAGGUUGAGUUUGAUAGAAGUGUUUUCAUUAUUUUCUUAAAAAAUUCCAAUGAAAACACAUUUUGUAUUAGUUUGACUGUAUGCAUUUGCCAUAGCAGUGUUUGCAUCCCAAAGAUUGCAGUGUGGUGGCUAUGGGUGAGCCAAAAAGCAGCUGGAAACUGACUAGAUGCAGAACCUGAAAUCUUUCUCAUUGUCCAAAUUAAAGGCCCAAGCCUAUGCCCUGGAAAGUCACUGGCGAAGCUUUUACAGAAACCAGGAACAGGCCUUGAUUGAGCACUUUCUUCAUCUCCCUCAGCACUGAUGGUGAAAAUAAAUUAGAUUGUCCACAAUUCUUUAUUUUACUAAUUGAAGGUUCUCUAAAGACAUUUUUUUUACAAUUAAUUUUUUUAACCCGAUCGUGUCCCUUUAACAGUUCAGUUUUCAGAUGUUCAUGUUCUUUGCAGAAUUAUCAAAAGCCAGUAUUUUUUUUCCCUAUCAGAGGCCAGGGAAGACUUGAUCUUUCAUGUAUUUGCAACAUGACUCUCCUUAAAGGAUCCAAAAUAUCACAAAGGUGUUUGUGGGAGGUGGUACAUUUGGGUUUACAAGUUAAUCUUUAUUAGAGAUGUGCCAAUAUAUGCUGCUUUAUUGUAGUGUUGUUGUUUUAUAUUUAGGCAUUUUAGCUAAUUUACAAAUAUAUACUGUAACAGUAUACUUUGUACAGAUUUAUUUAAAAUUUAUUUGAAAAUUGAAAUAAAGUAGGCAAAAAAUAAAGAUGUUUAUUUUUCAUUUGACUAUAAGCAGCUAACAUUUUUUUGGUUUUAGUGUACUUGAGCACCAAACAAUCUCAGAAUGAUCAAAUAUUUUAGUUGAAAGGCCACAUUUCAGAAACUCUGUGGCUAUGUGUAUGUGUAUCUGUAUUGUAUGUAGACAACUGUUAACUCUGGAAAUGAUGAAGUCAUACUCGUGUUACCAUUCAGAAGAAAGCUUUUCAUAGUUUGACUCUAUUUUCUCUGUUUUAAGACAAAAAGGAAUUUAUUUUUUGUAAGAUGUUUAUGAAAGGCCUGCCGUCUGGCUUCUCCAGUCAAUGUUUAAAAUUCCAGAGUGGGGGUGAUUUCUUGUUUAGCCCUUGCUGAUAGACCAAAGUCAGCUUUGACAUCAUAUUGGGGUGCUGCUCAAAUCUGUGUUUUAUGUUGAAGUCAAAAAGCAAAGUAAGAAAAAUCAAGAUGUGAACUUCACUAGAAAACAAAUUCUUCACUGUACAAUAGAAUGGAUAUCUCUAAUCACUCUGUCGUUAAUGAUAGAUUCUUAUUUUUUGAAUUAUCUAUUUAAAAACAGCAAGCAUUGUAUUUGCUAGUAAAUAUAAAGUGUUUACAUGUAAUUACUUAAUAAAUUAUUUGAUUUAAGAUUGCUCUUACGGUGCUGAUUUUUA